CUUUAUUAAGGCAACGGGGGACAAAUCGUAGCGCUCAGGUUUUACAAAAGCGAAAACAAACAGAGCUCGCACACAUCCGCGGAGAGGGGGCAGGGAGGCGGCAAAGUUUCUAGAGCUCCAGGAACUGGAGUGCCAAUGAGAAAUGCAGUGUGCUUCAAAGCUGCACGCUCAGUGUCACUUCGGAUACGGAUAAAGUGAAACAGGUACUUGCAAAAAGGACCAUAGUCAAUAAAUAUAUCGGCUGAAUGAAGGCAAAAAAAAAAAGAAAAACAAAACCAAAACGCAACCCCCUCCCCCCCCCCCAAAAAAACAACUCACCAGCUGCCUUCCUGGGAUGUCCCUUCCUUGAAUGCCCCAGUCCUUGAUUUCCCUUUAAGAACCUCAGACAGGAAAAUGUUGAUCUGUGCCAAUGGUUCCCCUUCUUCGAUGGAGUUUGAAGGGUGGCAGGAGCCUAAGGUAGGGUCCCAGAUACUUGUCAAUGGGAAAUGGGCAAAGCCAAAGCAGUUUUAUAUUUUGAUUAAAAAACGUGCAUCUGGACAGCUAAAUUACCAGUUUUGAUCUAAUGCAAGUGUAAUAGGAACACCAGCUGUCCCUUAAUUGGAGCCCCACAAUAAUAAACGCGUGCUUUUAUUUAAUUUUAUGAGGACAAUUGUAGUUGAUAACACACGCAUAUGCGAGAUCCUCAGUGACAAGCUCAUAGCAAUUCAUGGGCUGCUCUCCUGCCAUGAACUGCUUCACCCCAGUACCGAGUUCUACAUGCUCUCCACAAAGGGUAAAAACAUCGCAGGAGACAUUUAAGUAACAGGUUGAGGAGCCUAGUGAAAUCUCAGGCUAAUUCUCCUUUUUAAUUCUGUGGGACUGAUCCAAGUAGAAUUCUCCAGCUGAUUUUAGGCAAGAAAUCAAUGUCUGUUUGUUAAAUGCCAGAUAAUAGUGGCAGGAUCAUAAUGGUUGGAAGGAGAACACUGGCACAAAACUACCCUUUAAAUAAUUGAGAUACCCCCUCCCCCCACCAAGGCAAUUGGCAAGCAUUGUGAAAGUUAUCAGGACAAUGUGCAGGGACAGCAUCUGAUACUUUUGCAGUAAUGGGUAGAAUCCUAGCAUAAGUCAAACAGAAGGCAGGAGUUGCUAGUUUUUUGAAAAAAAGGGAAACAAGAAAAAAAUGAAUUCCUAACCGCCUCUCUUCACCUCCUUUUGAGCUUGCCAAAUUACCUGCACUGCUCUGAAAAUCAAACUUGGCUGACAUAUAGGAAGUGGCUUUGGCAGUCCAGGAACUACCACAACUAAAAUUAAGAGGUGUUGGCUACCACAGAAGUCUGGAAAGAAGGGCAAGGCUGAAUUAUAUAACUUUAUACCCAAUGAUCUAACAAAUGAGGAACUUUUAUCACGGCAUGAUUGGGGGCACGACCGAGGAAAAAUGGAGUUGCACACUGACUGACCCACAAGAUGACUUCUUAAUGUAUAUACAUUAUUGUCUCUGACUUCUUACACUUGUUCCCCCUCGCAUUGUGGGCGAGUCUCAGAACCACUACUCCUGAGGGAUCUUCAAAGUGUCAGUUUUAUCUUCUGGUUUUCCAUGAUGCCUUCGAGCAGGGUCAGAUGGUUCCCUACUGGCUAUAAACGGCUAUAGCAGCCCCAAGCCUCACAUCUUCAUACUCACGGAAGAGCAAACGUCCUGAGGUUUACCAGAAUUGGAUGAGCUGAAGCCGGGGUUAUAUUCCCAUUUCUGAAACAAUCAGAAGAACUUCAAGAGGGGGAGCAAAUUAAUGCGGCUGGGCCUGGAGUAGGUAAUGACUUCAACGCAUUCAGUCCAAGCGUGUGGCUGAAAAUCAUAUUUGCACUGCUCCCCGAAUCGUGAAUCAGAAGCUGUUGCCAGCAGAAUGGAAGUUAGAAAAGCAACUAAAAUCGUUCUCUGUGGUCCCUGGACCAUGGAGCACACAUUCUUGGGACGGUGGGGGAAUCGGAGAAGAAAUAAGUCAACAAAUAAGCAAGAUAGACGUGGUGAUAAAUGCUUUGAUGGUCCCAGAAUAGGAUGUGGUCUCCAAGAAAACAGAGAUUUAUAUUUGUUUUGCUCUUUGCAAUAUCCCACCUGCCUAAGCCAGUGCCUAGCACACAUCGGCCCAAAGUAAAUGUUUGUUGAGUUGAAUUGCAUGAAAUAAUAAGGAGGGUAAAAUGAUAAUCGUUGCUCUCUAUCAUGCCUCUCUGCUCCCAACCAACCGCUUUCCUUGGGUCUCCCUUGUCAGCGACAUGCCUUGGCUUCUGCUCUCCUUCCCACCUGGGACCUACUCCUUUCCCCCCUGUGUGUCCAGGUCCUACACAUCGUUCCCAACUUUGUCAAAAUUCCAUCUUCUUCAGGUGCCUUCCAUGACAUACCUGCUGCUCUUUAACUUCCUCCUGACCAUCCUCUGCUCCACCAUGGCAUUUAUCAGCAAUGUGCCUUUUAGCCCUAGGUUUUAUUAGACUUGGUAAUUUGCCAAAUGUUCUUUUAUAACAUUAACUAACACAAUUUUAUCUUUACAUGCCUUAAAAUCCAGAACAGAGCAUGAUCUAUCUGUAGAUAGGCAUUGGUUGUUUUUUUCCCCAGCUUAGCCAUUUACUAGGUAUAUAUGAACCUGGGUAAAUGAUUCGCUGCUCUGAGAGUCAAUUUCCUGAUCUGUAACAUGGGGGUUGUACCUCCCUCGUGAGGCUGCUCUGAGUACUGAGGUUAUUCAUGCCACCCCCACAUGGUAGGUACUUGAUAAACAGGGGUGAUGAUGAAGAAGAAGGAGGACGGAGGGGAGGAGGAGGGAGAGGAGGAGGCAGGGGAGGAGGAGGAGAAGGAGAAGGAGAAAGCAGCUUUGAUUUCACCAUCAGCAGGAAGGCACUCGCUGAAGCAUGGCAAGCUAAGUGACCACACCGCUGAACUGAAGGAACGGAGAGGAAGGGAGAGGCAGGAGCCUAGCAGCCAGCGCCCGACACAGCCAUCCCUUACAGCCCUGGCGCUCACGCUGAACUAACAAGCACCUAAUUGACUCAAAUGAUGGUACGUGUGAGCCUCGGCGGGUGCUGGAUGAGCUGCCGCCGGGGGCGGAGGCGCUGCUAUUAUGCUAAUUCUUGUGCAUCCCACGGGUCAGAAAAGAACAGAUACUUCAUCCGCCACGGGAGGAAUGGCAGCAAUUAAGGCAGUCACGAUGCCAUGAAGUGGUAUUAACGAAACAAAUGAGGACUCUGUCUCUGGGUAAAAUCACUCCGGUCUUUUGGGGGGAAAAAUCCCUGCCUAAAUAAAUUGUUUACUUUUUCGCGGCCAUGACUGCUCAAUUAGAUCAUUCAUGAGCAUGGUGUCCCCAAAUGUAAAGAGUGAAAUGGACAGGCUUUCCUCUAAUCCCCGCUUCUCUACCAGCUGGCUCGUUGGGCUUAGAGUACACCUGCUGCCUUCUCAGCUACAAACUUUCCAACCCCUCAGCCAAGUCCACCCCAUCCAGCUCUGCUUUCCACCACAGAUGAGAUUUGGGGCUAGGGAAGGUCACUACUGAGCAAUCAGGUCAAGUGAGUUAGUGCCUGAGGUCCUGACCUGCACGUACGGCUGGCUGCAAAAACUUUCUCGAACGUGUUCCAGGUGUGUUCAUUCUAGUGGUUGAAAUGAGAUUGACCUGAUUUAAAAUUUCCCCGUUUGUGAGUUUUGUGACUUUCAGCAAACACUUAACUUCUUUAGUGGAAAAAAAUAAGAUCUGCCUUAUAAAGUAGUUAUGAGAAUCAAAUAUGAUGAAGCAUGCCUGGUGUUCGGCAUGGUGCUUGGCACAAAUUAAGCAUCAAUGAACGUUAGCUUUUAUUAUAAUUAUUGGCAGGGGCAGUGGUGAUAUCGAAAGCAAUGGCUUUGACCAAAGAGCUGGAGGGACUGAUUUGCUCGUCUGGGUAGGUCUGUAGCUGCUCAAUCAGGCUGGCCUUUGAGGAGAAUCGGCUAGCUUCAGAGACCACAAGGGAGCCGGUACACCUGCAAUUUAAAAGAGAAAGCAUUUUCUGUAAAGUCUUAGUUGUCAGUAUCUGAGAGGUAGAUUUAGUUCCUGGCAGCCCCAGGAGCUUAGCUGGACCGAUAGUUGUGACCAGGUACAGGUGGAUCAGCACCCAGAGUAUUUCAGGAUCGGCACGGGUCAGUAUCCUGGUCCUAUGGCUCAGUGGUAACUUGCAGGAAGAUUACUCACACGUACAGUAAGCCUCUGACCCCAGGCCUCAUCUGCUCCCCUGUUAAUCAGUCUGUCAGUCAGGUCCUGCAAGAAACAGAUACUGAGACGGGAAAUCCAAUGUGCAAAGAUUUCAUUAGAGGAAACACCUGUGAGAGAAAAUGGGGGUGCAGAGCCGGAGAGGCUGGGAACAGCCUUGGAUCACGAUGUAAGUCUGACCCUGUGAAGCGAAGGAGAGAGGUCAGACCGGACAAAGGAUCUCAGAGCACCGUAGCCGGGGCCCUGGGCCGAUUAUGUUCUCUGUGGUUGGAAGUCUGCAAUGCAUAUUAUCACGGCUGCCACAAUCGAUGACAGGAAAAAUAUCUCAAAGACGAAAUGAUCAAAUUUGCAGAUGGCACAGACGCAAUGCUCGGAAUCCUGUCCUCCACGGUUUUGAACAUUUCCUUUUUCAGAGUGAGCCUGUUCACAAGCUCCCCACAUGAACGUGCCAGGUUCUUGGGGCGCCUCUCUCUGUUCUUUCCAUCAUGACCCUUUGCGGCUAUAGGCUCAGAAUUACGUUAUGACAGGUAUAAGAGUUUAUACUGUGGAGGAAUACUUGCUGACGUGAAAAGAGAGUCAAGGUAUAUUUUUAAUUUAAGAAAGGUCACAAAACCUGUAUUUAUUAGCAUGAUUUCCAUUUUGUUCCAAGAAUAUCUAUGCAUAGGAAAAAAUGUAGAAAGACAGAAGCAUAACAGUAUUAAUGGGGUUUAUAUAUUUGGUUUUUACGCUUUUUUUGUGCAUCUCUGUGAUUGUGAUUUUUCCACAGCGAGUGUGUUUUACUUCGAAGACAUUCCCAGUGCUUUGCAACUAUCUUCCAAAGGCCGGGGUUCACCUCUGACUGGUUUGGCCUCUUUGUAAAGGAUGCAAUGACAAAGCAGGUUAUCUCAAGACUUGUCACUAUUUUCAACCACCUUCUUGGCUUUUGGACUCUUUCCCUGCUGUGACCGUUGAGAACUUCUGACCCCCUGCAUAGGUCACAACGCUCCUAGUGUCCAAACCUCCUACCUGACUUAACUUGAAGCUGCCAUGGGAUCAUUUCCUGUUGGAACUAUUAGCAGUCAUAAUAUUGUUAAUUAGAUUGCCCCACUUCCUCUGAGUGCUUACUGUGUGCCGGGAACUAUAAUAAUUAUUUUAAAUGUAGUGACUGAAUUCAUUUUCUCGAUAAGUCUAUGAGGGUGGUCCUAUUAUUAUACAUAUUUUACAGACGAGGCAACGGGGCAACGGAGGUGGGUUAGGUGGGCCAACUCACACAGUCAGUGAGGAUAUUUGCCUACCUUUGCCUGGAGGAUGGAUCGCUGAUGCUUCUUGGUCCUGCCUCCAAAUGGCCUAUUCCUACCAACUGCCACUGCCCCACACACAGGUGUGAGAGAUGUAUAUGCACCUUUUUUCCAGGCAGGGCACCACAUGAAGCAUCCAGCUGUGACUUGGGACAAGUUAUUAAAUCCUCUGAGCCUCAGUUUCCCCAUCUGUAAAGAGGACUGACAUACUUUUGCAGAGUUCUUCAGAAGAUUGAAUCAAGUAAGGUAUGAGAGAUGCCGAAUGCCAGUUCCAAGUAGAGGGAGAACGCUCACGGAGAGGAAGAUGCCCACAGUAAGCCCAUGAAGAGAACUGAAUGUCAGCCUGAUGUCAGAAGAACGGAGUUAAGCUUCUCUCUCAACCAUUUCUGAAUGCAGUUCACCUUGUAUGUUAGCAAAGGUGGUGGCAGUCUACACGGAGUGACCAGCCAUUACCAAGAAGACCUCCUUGUCCAAAAUAUCUGCCUCACCAGGGCCAGGCACUCCACCAUCAGUAAUCCAUGUCUGCGUCUUAGGCUUUCCCCUUUCCAUAAGCCUUGUAAGCACAUAAAUACUCAUGGGAUCCUUGUAAGACAGAAAUGGCGGCAGGAUUUAGGAUUGGAUUACGUGGAAUUGUAGAGGAGAAAAACGUGUACUGGGAAGGUGAGUGUUCCGGUCUCAGUUCCUGCUGUCCUAACUCCCAUGGAGAACUUUCGUGAAUCACAACCUCUCUGUGUUUCUGUCUAUACAAAGAAAUUUUGUAAUAUAUACUUCUCCAUCUAAGAUUCGGGCUUUAACCAUCUAAGAUUCUACAGAAUCAAAUAGUGAUAAUUCAGGCACACCUUCAGGCAACUAUGGAAAUAUUUCUUGCUUGAUACCCAUUUCUCUUGCCCUGAGAUUGCUGAUUGGUAAAACCAGCUUGGAAAUCCACUGUGACAACAUUUACCAAAAACUUUAAGGAGGUUCACAUUCUUUGAUCCAGUAAUUUCAUUUCUGUGAAAUCAUUCGAAGUACAGCAGAGCUUCAUGAACAGGGACUUUAAAUACAGUUAUGUUUAUAAUAAUGAAAACAGGGGCGCCUGGGUGGCGCAGUCGGUUAAGCGUCCGACUUCAGCCAGGUCACGAUCUCGCGGUCUGGGAG